CUGUAACACACUGUGCCUCAGUUCUCUCUUUUCUUCUACCUCUUCUUCUUCUUGGAAAGUAACCAUUUUGUCCGACAUCUGACACACUGCCCUGGGUUAUUGAGCCAGACGUGGAAAUCCAAAGCGGAGAUGCUCUCCUUAAUGCCUGACACCUGGUGCAGAUUUGGAAGGGAUUGCACUACAGGGUGUGCUUUACAAGUGGACGCUACUCAGGAGUGUUGCAGCUCACCUUACCGCUUGCAGUCACAUCUGCAGACUGUGCUGGAGCAGAAUGGCUAGCGAACAUAAACACAGCAAGGACAUCAAAGGCCGGCAGUCUUAUUUAUUGAUAUUAGUAAUGCAGCUGUCAUUCUGCAAUGAGAUCUGUCCUCUGUCUGGGUGAAUGCUGAUAAGAUGACACAAUGCAAAUAUGAAGUGUGAUGGAGCCGCCUUGGCAAGCAGGCUGUGUCCAGUUCUGUCACUGGUCCUUAGUGCUCCAGCAGCCUGGUCAAAAAGACAUCCUGGCAGGGUCCCAGGGUGGAUGCAUCGCCCACGCACGCUGCUCUUGCCAGAUCCCAGAAGUCUUUGUGGUGAACCACUGACCGUGCUGCUCCCUAUUUUCUUCCAGCCCAGCAAAUAAUGUGUCAGAAAAAGAUUAUUGAUAGCCCAUAAAAGAAGAGGCAGAAUGUUGUUGCCGCACUGCUCCAACUUUAAAGAACAAUACAAGUGCUAAACCAUCAGUUUCAAUGGUGCACUGCUCCUGAAAGAGCACAGCAUUUAUUUUUCACAUUGUUGUUCAGUUUGAAUAAAAGGUGCUACAAC
ensembl:lncRNA